rnacentral:lncRNA from 1 species
AUCCUUUGACUAUUUAUAUUGAAUGGAAAGAAGGUUAAGAAACGUCUUUGGACUUUUAUAAUAAAUUGAAUUACCUGUUUUCAAAAGUAAAACAAAGCUGAAACCGAUGAGAUGAACAACAUUAAUAACAAAUAACUAGUGGACUUUUUAGGCCAUGACAUAACUGAUCAGACCAGUUUAUAUUCUUACCGUUUUUGUUAUGCUUCAAUACUAUUGUUUUCCAAUAAUCUCACGUCUAAGCCAAAUAGCUAUCUCUCUCUAUAUCCGUCUCUCUCUCUCUCUCUCUCUCUCUCUC